AGGCUAUCAAAAUAGAAUCAUCUGAAUGAUCUUUCUUGGACAUACAUUUUGAAGUGACCCUUCGAAUUAAAAAGGUUCCUCAGCUGCUUUUGAGGAAAAACAUCAAUGUGCUUGGCCACUCUGGUUUUUAAAUGGUAUUCUGAACUAAAGCAAGGAUUGUUGAAAGUUAGUUGAAAAUAGACCGUCUCUGGUUAAAUUAGUUCUACACCAAGCCUUUAGGUGGCAGUAAAACGAAUUGGCACAAUGCGAAUUCCACACACAAGCCACAAAGAAGCCAUCAGCCGCGGUCAACAGCACCUUCCUGAUUGAACAGAACCACGCGUUGUCUGUGUGGUUUACAAGUUUCUUGGCGAUAUGGGGGGAAAGUUCCUCACAUACCAACGGAAAAUGGGCUUCAUAUACAUGCUGCUGUCUCAUAAUAUGGCGAAGACGAGUCACCUGAAGGCCUAACUCGCCAUAGAAGACUGAAAGAAUUGUCCUGCAGGAUGCUGUGUCCUGCAAUCCUGUGUGCUGUGCUACAGACGCGUGUGGAGGUCAACCCAAAAUGGGCACAGUCUCACCACAGAAGAGUGAAAGAGGAUCCUGGCAGGGAGACGGUAGUGUCCUGCAGAAUGGUGAUGGGCCAAUCUUACAAGAGACCACAGAAAACUGAUAUAGUGAACUAUAGAAACAACAGUGCCUGCUGCAGUAUAACGAGGACACCCUGAGCAGAGAGCUCCAAUAGACCCAGGUCCAGUGUCUUGGCAGGGUGAAAUGGCACUGAUAUGGUGUCCUGCAGGAUGCUGUGUCCUGCAAUCCUGUGUGCUGUGCUACAGACGCGUGUGGAGGUCAACCCAAAAUGGGCACAGUCUCACCACAGAAGAGUGAAAGAGGCUCCCAGAAGUGAGACUGAGUGCCUGUUGCAGUAUGACGAGGACGCAGUGACCAGAGACCUUCAGUAGACCCUGCUGGCAUGAUUGGCGUCUGAAGAACAUGAAAUCAACAGCAAUGUUUAUAAUGUUGUACAUACCUGUAUAGUCUGUAUUAAAAGGCAGUACCUGUA